ensembl:lincRNA
CUCCUUCAGAGACAGAAGUUUCCUGGGUCUGGACUUGCGGAGUCGCAGCGGCAGCUGCGCAGUCAGCGGCCACCUUUUCCCCUGAAGAUUGCAGCAGGGAGGACAGGAGGAGAGGGAGUCCACCAGGAUGGGGCAGCGUGCCCCACUCAGCAGCCCCGGGAUGGCGGAAAAAGAAAACAGUGAGGCCCUGUCAAUCGCACCAAGGUGGCACUGCCUCGCUGGGGAACAAAGCUGUCCCUGCCCAGGCUCCAAGACUCUGAAAUGGAGGAGGCAGGUGGAGCGACGGGGCCCGGAAGGGCAGGAGACCAGCGUAUUUUUAACCUAUUGAUUUAUAUUUUAUAUGGUCUCGCUGUCCCCAGAGAGGCUCGUGUGGAGCCAGAGCACAACAGCUGGAAGGAGCCUCAAAGUCAGUUUUAUCCAGCACCAUCCAGGAUGAAAUCAUUGCUCCAUCAGCCAGGAUGCAGGCUUCGCUCCAGUGCCUCCAGGGACGGAUGCAGCUCUCACCCUUCCCCAGCACUCGCUCGGGCUGCUGUGGGCUGCUGGGUUUGGAAGCUGGCCCUUGGGGAGGCUGAGCUCAUCUGGGAACUCCUGCUACGUGGGCCAGCACUGCGGCCAAGGAUGCUGACUAAGCAAGGCUGCUUCCUCCCCCACUUCUGGGGUGACUUCCUGCCACCCAUGCCCACCCUUUCACCGGAAACCCCAGCAGACCUAAGCCCUCACACAGGCCAGGACCCUCUUCCCUGGCUCCCCAUGUUCAGCCCUCAGAUCUCAACUUGCAAUGAAGAAACAGAGAAUGCUGGACAUUUUGCCAAAACCACCCACACAGCAGGCGCAGGAGCUGCCGUGGCUGGGCCUGACACCAAGGGCGCUGGGCCCCUGGGGUGCUCGCCGACGGCUCCUGGAAAUGCAGCCAAGGGCAAGAAUCCUGCGCAGGUGGCCCAGAGCCACCGAAGGGGAGACCGGCAAGGGACGUGA